UGCCACAGCCAUGUCACCCUGCACCCCAAGACCGCUUAGCCUUCUAAGGAGGGCUGAGCCUGGUCAGUACCUGGAUGGGAGAUCAUAUGGGGAAACUAGAUUGCUGUUGGAA
rnacentral:rRNA from 1 species